UACGAAGGGGGCUAGCGUUGCUCGGAAUCACUGGGCGUAAAGGGUGCGUAGGCGGGUCUUUAAGUCAGGGGUGAAAUCCUGGAGCUCAACUCCAGAACUGCCUUUGAUACUGGGGAUCUGGAGUCCGGGAGAGGUGAGCGGAACUGCGAGUGUAGAGGUGAAAUUCGUAGAUAUUCGGAAGAACACCAGUGGCGAAGGCGACUCACUGGCCCGAUACUGACGCUGAGGCGCGAAAGCGUGGGGAGCAAACAGG
rnacentral:rRNA from 1 species